GCCGCCGUAGUUCAAUGGAUAGAACGAGUGCCUCCUAAGCGCUAGAUACAGGUUCGAUUCCUGUCGGUGGUACCA
rnacentral:tRNA from 1 species